UUCUCCCGACCGGAAGGUGGCCA
rnacentral:piRNA from 1 species